UACGUAGGGCGCAAGCGUUGUCCGGAAUUAUUGGGCGUAAAGAGCUCGUAGGCGGCUUGUCACGUCGAUUUGUGAAAGCCCGAGGCUUAACCUCGGGUCUGCAGUCGAUACGGGCUAGCUAGAGUGUGGUAGGGGAGAUCGGAAUUCCUGGUGUAGCGGUGAAAUGCGCAGAUAUCAGGAGGAACACCGGUGGCGAAGGCGGAUCUCUGGGCCAUUACUGACGCUGAGGAGCGAAAGCGUGGGGAGCGAACAGG
rnacentral:rRNA from 1 species